GACGAACGCUGGCGGCGUGCUUAACACAUGCAAGUCGAACGGGCCCGCUCUCUUUUUUGGGGGUGGGUUGAGUGGCGAACGGGUGAGUAUCACGUGAGUAACCUGCCCCCUGCUCCUGGAUAACUGCUUGAAAGGGCGGCUAAUACGGGGUGUGCCGGCUGGUCCGCAUGGGCCUGGUCGGGAUAGUUUCAUCUUCGGGUGUUUCGGUGGGGGAUGGGCUCGCGGCCUAUCAGCUUGUUGGGGGGGUGAUGGCCCACCAAGGCGGUGACGGGUAGCCGGCCUGAGAGGGUGGGCGGCCACACUGGGACUGGGACACGGCCCCGACUCCUGCGGGAGGCAGCAGUGGGGGGUAUUGCACAAUGGGCGGAAGCCUGAUGCAGCGACGUCGCGUGAGGGAUGGAGGCCUUCGGGUUGUGAACCUCUUUCUCCGGUGGUGAAGGCCCUGUCCGUUGCGGCGGGGUUGACGGUAGCCGGGUAUGAAGCGCCGGCUAACUACGUG
rnacentral:rRNA from 1 species